CUUACAUUUGAUGCGUUCGGGGAUACGCUAUUAGCGCUACUUCUGUCAUUCUAUCUUCGUUGUUUAUUAGAUGUACAACAAG